rnacentral:tRNA from 1 species
AGUCUUAUAUUCAACAAUGAUUUUAAAUUGCAAAUUUAAAGGAGGAUUAACCCUAAGGCUU